GACGAACGCUGGCGGCGUGCUUAACACAUGCAAGUCGAACGGUAAGGCCCUUCGGGGUACACGAGUGGCGAACGGGUGAGUAACACGUGGGUGAUCUGCCCUGCACUUCGGGAUAAGCCUGGGAAACUGGGUCUAAUACCGGAUAGGGCUCCUGCCUGCAUGGGUGGGGGUGGAAAGCUUUUGCGGUGUGGGAUGGGCCCGCGGCCUAUUAGCGUGUUGGUGGGGUGAUGGCCUACCAAGGCGACGAAGGGUAGCCGGCCUGGGAGGGUGACCGGCCACACGGGGACUGGGGUACGGCCCAGACUCCGACGGGAGGCAGCAGUUUGGAAUUUUGGACAAUGGGCGAAAGCCUGAUCCAGCGACGCCGCGUGGACGAUGAAGGUCUUCGGAUUGUAAAGUCCUUUUGCUCGGGAACAAUAUUUUGAGCGUACCGAGAGAAUAAGAGGUUGCUAACUCUGUGCCAGCCGCCGCGGUAA
rnacentral:rRNA from 1 species